CUAAAAAAUCAAGAACUACUGUCUUAAAGAGCAGUAAUUGGUACCUAGUUAAGAGAGAUUUUGGAAGACAAAAAUUUAAGGGUUCAAUUUGCAAUGCAUUUUAAAUUUAUGUGUUUAUUUCCUUUUAGAAAGUAAUAUGUAUUGCAACUCAGCAAUUGGGUUUACAAAACUGGUCAUCUCAGAAAGAGAAGAUUAUACAGUUUUAUAAUCAACUUCAGGUUUGUGUUGGUGUGAUGUUAGUGGGCCCAACAGGUGGAGGAAAGACAACAGUCAGAAGAAUUUUGGAAAAAGCAUUAACACUAUUACCAAUUGCAGACUUCUUAUCAGUUGCAGAAAGCAAAUCUGCUUCAAAGAUUUCAGGAAGAAAAGGAAAAGUAGACAUUUGUGUUUUAAAUCCAAAGUGUAUCACUCUCAGUGAACUAUAUGGACAACUGGAUCCUAAUACUAUGGAAUGGACUGAUGGAUUAUUAUCAGCAACAAUUCGAAGUUAUGUAUAUUUUAACACACCAAUGAACUCAAAGAAAGACAUUGAUCUCAGACUAAAGUCAAGAAUCUCAGAUUUAUCCAAUGUAAGUUUAGUGUUGAAUUAAUAUUUUUAUUUAACGAAUGUGGAUUAUUUAAUUGCUUAUCCAAAGACUGAUGUUAAAACGUUAG